rnacentral:lncRNA from 1 species
CCUCUAAAACCAAUGUCGCUGCAGAGUAUUGACAGUACUCCAGGGACUGAGUACUGCCUCGUUUUACCUGCUUGUACAUCUUACUACUGCAGUACUCCACAGGGAGAUCAGGGCCAGGAGGGGCCCCCAGGACCCUUUGAGUAUGUGGACCCCCCAGAGGACCGGUACAUCAAAGGGGAUCAGGUGAGGCUCUGGUUGGUUUUGGUUUGUGUACAGAUGUACAAAUAUUAAAGGGAAUUAUCUGUGAUGAAUGGAAAGGAAAUGAAACCAAGAACCAAAAACACUCUUUGUCCAUCCGGAUCUGUAGAAAGGAUCUGGUGGUGUUGCAUUCACUGACAUCGGUUGACCGCAGUUGGUCGUCUGUGUGAGUCGCUCCUCGCUGAUGGUCCAGUCUUGUGUUUUCAGGGACCUCCUGGGGUCAAAGGAGCAGCUGGAGUGCAGGGAGCACCGGUAAGAAGGGAGUUUCUGCUCAUGGAGAUGUGUUUGCAGAAGUAAAGACGAUCCGGGUUUUUCUGGUUUCAGGGCCUGGACGCCCGUCCUGGGGUCAAAGGAGAGAAAGGCAUUGUGGGAUUUCCUGGUCUCAGAGGUGUAAUGGGUCGACCUGGUCCAGAGGGGGCGAGAGGUAUCAAGGGACAAAAAGGGGAGCAAGGUCUGCCAGGCCUGUUUGGACAGGACGGGUCAAAGGUCGGUCUGUGGCUUUGAACUUGGUUCUGGUUCUGGAUGGGCUCCUGAACAGUUUGACACCGACCCAGAUUCUGAAGAUGCUUUUGUAAUGACAACAUAAAAACAGUUUUUCUGUCUCCGCUCAGGGCAUGAAGGGAGAUCAGGGCCUGAAGGGGCUCCCUCAGUCCAGGGACGUCACACUCGUUGGGAAGUCCGGGGACCCUGGGGCUCCUGGGUUUCCAGGUCCUCCAGGAAACAUGGGGCAUAUGGGGUUUCACGGUCCACCAGGACCCCGAGGUGCAUCAGUGCCGGGACCAAGAGGCGUUCCUGGGAUCAAAGGGUCUCAGGGGUAUAAAGGGGACAAAGGAGAUCCAGGUCAAAUGAUCACACAGGGAAAAACUCCAGGAGAACCUGGGAAACCAGGAUUUCCUGGAUACAAGGGGCUAAAGGGAGAACCAGGAAUUCCAGGAAGUUACUGUCUUCCUGGGAUACCAGGACUGCCAGGGAAUCCGGGUGUUCAGGGGCCCCCUGGGUUCUCAGGCCCCUCUGGAUUUAGAGGUUUGUUUGGAAGCGUCCAGUUUUUAUAA